GAUGAACGCUAGCUACAGGCUUAACACAUGCAAGUCGAGGGGAAACGGCAUUGAGUGCUUGCACUCUUUGGACGUCGACCGGCGCACGGGUGAGUAACGCGUAUCCAACCUUCCCAUUACUGUGGGAUAACCUGCCGAAAGGCAGACUAAUACCGCAUAGUCUUCGAUGACGGCAUCAGAUUUGAAGUAAAGAUUUAUCGGUAAUGGAUGGGGAUGCGUCUGAUUAGCUUGUUGGCGGGGUAACGGCCCACCAAGGCGACGAUCAGUAGGGGUUCUGAGAGGAAGGUCCCCCACAUUGGAACUGGGCCACGGGCCAAACUCCUACGGGAGGCAGCAGUGAGGAAUAUUGGUCAAUGGACGGAAGUCUGAUCCAGCCAAGUAGCGUGCAGGAUGGCGGCCCUAUGGGUUGUAAACUGCUUUUGUAUGGGGAUAAAGUUAGGGACGUGUCCCUAUUUGCAGGUACCAUACGAAUAAGGACCGGCUAAUUCCGUG
rnacentral:rRNA from 1 species